AUAACCCUUCUGUUCUAGGUUCUGGUAUACCAGAGUUGAAGACCAUCCUGAGAGGGGUGGUACUAAAGGAGUAUUUGACUCUGAAGGCGUUCAUCGCCAAAGUCAUUGGUCUGACGGCGGCUCUGGGCAGCGGCAUGCCUGUAGGCAAAGAGGGCCCGUUUGUUCACAUCGCCAGCAUCUGUGCAGCAGUUCUCAGCAGGUUCAUGUCCUUUUUUUCAGGAGUUUAUCAGAAUCCAUACUGUUACACAGACAUCCUGACGGUCGGUUGUGCUGUCGGGGUGGGCUGCUGCUUCGGUACUCCGCUUGGAGGUACACAUCCUUU